rnacentral:rRNA from 1 species
UACAGGGGGUGCAAACGUUGCUCGGAAUCAUUGGGCGUAAAGCGCACGUAGGCGGUUUGUUAUGUCGGAUGUGAAAGCCCUUGGCUUAACCGAGGAAGUGCAUCCGAAACUGGCGAGCUAGAGUACGAAAGAGGAUCGCGGAAUUCCCGGUGUAGAGGUGAAAUUCGUAGAUAUCGAGAGGAACACCGGUGGCGAAGGCGGCCAACUGGACGAACACUGACGCUGAGACUCGAAAGCGUGGGGAGCAAACAGG